rnacentral:rRNA from 1 species
CAAUAGCGUAUAUUAAAGUUGUUGCAGUUAAAAAGCUCGUAGUUGAAUUUCUGUCGGGAGUGACCGGGCCUUUGGAUGAACUUCCAUUGUUUUUUGCUCUGUUUGUCAUCUCUAGACAUCCUGAAAUAUUUUUUAAAAAUAUUUCUCUUUUACUGUUAGCAAAAUAGAGUGUUCCAAGCAAAGCGUAGUUUUGAAUACAUUAGAAUGGAAUAAUAAGAUAGGACUUUGGUGCUAUUUUGUUGGUUUGCACACCAAGGUAAUGAUUAAUAGGGACAGUUGGGGGUAUUCGUAUUUAAUUGUCAGAGGUGAAAUUCUUGGAUUUAUGAAAGACGAACUACUGCGAAAGCAUUUACCAAGGAUGUUUUCAUUAA